UGAUACAAUUUUUAUUGCUACCAUUGUGU
rnacentral:piRNA from 1 species